rnacentral:rRNA from 1 species
UCCUACGGGAGGCAGCAGUGGGGAAUCUUGCGCAAUGGGCGAAAGCCUGACGCAGCGACGCCGCGUGGGGGAUGAAGGCCCUCGGGUUGUAAACCCCUUUCGGCAGGGACGAAGCGAUCGUGACGGUACCUGCAGAAGAAGCUCCGGCUAACUACGUGCCAGCAGCCGCGGUAAGACGUAGGGAGCGAGCGUUGUCCGGAUUCAUUGGGCGUAAAGCGCGCGUAGGCGGCCUCGCAAGUCGGAUGUGAAAACCCGGGGCUCAACCCCGGGCCUGCAUCCGAUACUGCGUGGCUAGAGGCAGGUAGGGGAGAGCGGAAUUCCUGGUGUAGCGGUGAAAUGCGCAGAUAUCAGGAGGAACACCGGUGGCGAAGGCGGCUCUCUGGGCCUGUCCUGACGCUCAGGCGCGAAAGCUAGGGGAGCGAACAGGAUUAGAUACCCCAGUAGUC